CACCGCGGUUAUACGAGAGACCCAAGUUGACAGCCCCCGGCGUAAAGCGUGGUUAAGUUAGUUUUUAACUAAAGUCGAAUGCCCCCCCUGCUGUUAUAAGCAUACGAAGGUAAGAAGCUCAGCUACGAAAGUGACUUUACAAAACUGAACCCACGAAAGCUAAGAUA
rnacentral:rRNA from 1 species